rnacentral:rRNA from 1 species
CCUACGGGCGGCAGCAGUGAGGAAUAUUGGUCAAUGGACGCGAGUCUGAACCAGCCAAGCAGCGUGCAGGAUGACUGCCCUAUGGGUUGUACACUUCUUUUAUAUGGGAAUAAACCGUUCCACGUGUGUGUUUCUGUAUGUAUCAUAUGAAUAAGGAUCGGCUAACUCCGUGCCAGCAGCCGCGGUAAUACGGAGGAUUCGAGCGUUAUCCGGAUUUAUUGGGUUUAAAGGGUGCGUAGGAGGAAUGUUAAGUGAGUUGUGAAAGUUUGAGGCUCAACCUCAAAAUUGCAUUUGAAACUGGAAGGCUAGAGAAUAGUAGAGGUAGGCGGAAUGCAUGGUGUAGCGGUGAGAUGCUUAGAUAUCACAAAGAACACCGAUUGCGAAGGCAGUUCAC